AGCGAACGCUGGCGGCAGGCUUAACACAUGCAAGUCGAACGCAUCCUUCGGGGUGAGUGGCAGACGGGUGAGUAACACGUGGGAACAUACCUUUUGGUUCGGACUAACUCAUGGAAACGUGAGCUAAUACCGGAUACGCCCUUUUGGGGAAAGAUUUAUUGCCGAAAGAUUGGCCCGCGUCUGAUUAGCUAGUUGGUGAGGUAAUGGCUCACCAAGGCGACGAUCAGUAGCUGGUCUGAGAGGAUGAGCAGCCACACUGGGACUGAGACACGGCCCAGACUCCUACGGGAGGCAGCAGUGGGGAAUAUUGGACAAUGGGCGCAAGCCGGAUCCAGCCAUGCCGCGUGAGUGAUGAAGGCCUUAGGGUUGUAAAGCUCUUUUAUCCGGGAAGAUAAUGACUGUACCGGAAGAAUAAGCCCCGGCUAACUUCGUGCCAGCCGCCGCAGUAA
rnacentral:rRNA from 1 species